UACCCUUCUCUGAUUCAUCUUUCUGUUAAUAAAUAUACCACACCUGUUCUGAAUGGCACAUGGGUAUAUUCAGAUCGCACCGAUCAGGAAGCAGUGAUACUGCAGAAAUAGCACCUUGCAGCACUACCGAAAUAAUCCCACAAUGUGGAUUGUCUGGGCUGUCUCUUAUAAUAGGAUUUAUUUAGCAUGGGGAUUACGGAAAGGAGAAAGCUUCAUUGACUGGCAACAACCUCCAUUCAAAACAAACUUGCUACAGUCCACCAAGAUUCAGCAAAGCGACCACAGACAAAACGAAACAGGAGGAGCAGCCGAACCAGCAGCCGGGAGCUGCUUUGUCCGUCGGUGUGGCCAGCCCCAGCGGCCCUGCAGGUGGAGAGAGAGCCACCACGCCACGUGCUGACCCCAGCCUGAUGGCACUGCCUCUCCAGGGGAAAACCAGACCGAGACACUCCUCGCAAAAGGGGGAAGUUUACUGUUUUGAUGAAAAGCCCACCCUAAAAUGCCACGGGGCUGACUUCAACCCUGUGAGAGCUGCUGCUGCCCACCAGUGAUGCCGGUGGUCUUUAAGACAGUCACACGCAUAAACACCACGCAUAACAUCUUUCGUUUUGGUUGAUGAUGGCCUUCAGGCUGCCAGCUCUGUGAAGGGCUUUUUAUAAUCAUUCCCCGUCUUGUCACGUCCUCAUCACGUGUCAGAGGGAAGCUCAUGCUUUUCCAUUUCCCCUCUCCUGUGCCCGGCGCUGACAGAGACCAGUGCUAUCGGAGACAUUUCACAGAGUCUUCCAAAGAAGAUAAAUUGCUCAAACUCUGGCACCCUACCGGUCAAGCUGUCUCUUGCUUUGUUCCACAAAAACAUUCUCUUAUCGAUGCAAGCUGAUACCUAGAUGUUUCAGUGUUGGGUAAGGUACCUCACAUUUAUUGACCUUGACUAUGGAAACAAAAAUGCCUAUUGCUGAGAAUAACGUUUGGGUAUUAUCUUAUAACCUACUGUGUGUGGUACUGCAGCAUAGGCUGAUGAAAGCCCUGUGACAUUUAAUAGUUAAUGCAAUCUAUCAAAAAAAAAAAAAAGGUAUCAUUUAUCUUUCAGUUAAUCAGAAUGAGAACAUAUUAGAUACUUUAAAUAAUUAAGCAUAUUAAAAAUGCAUUACCAAAUGUUUAUCAUUAAGUAAACUGGCAAAAGAAGAGUAGGAUAUUUUACAGCAGUCUAAAAAUAAAGAUGUCUCAGGUAUCUUCUCCCUCUCCAAGCAUGCGUUAAAGAUUUAUAUCUCACUGGAUGGAGAAGAGCAGGAGCAGCAUAGCAGGGCUCAGGCUGACACUACAUAACGGACUUAGAUCACACAUCUAGGGUAGCAGGGGCGACUGGCAAAAUAUCAAAGAUGAAAAUAUACAGGAGAAGUAGACAAAAGGAAGUGAACAUGAGGACAAGAGACUGAAUGGGAAGAACAGGAGGGUAAGGGGAUGAUGAAAUGAUGCACACAAAACAGAAGCGUAAAGACGGGCUAUGACUGGAGAAAAAGGAAGGAUAAUGAGUUAAAAUGCAGUACACCAGUAACAGUGAAGACAAGAAAGAAAAAUUACCACACAAAUCUUUUUACUUUGAAUAUUUGAAUCUUUAUUUUCAACAGCAGUUGAAAAGCUGUAAUGCUUUUACUCAUGGCAAGGGGCAAAAGGGGCAGCAAAUCAGACAAACUCCCUAAGAGGCAGAAGCUGUGGGAGAAAGAGGGGUGGCUGGAUAUUUUUUAAUCAAAGACCCUGAGCAAACUGCAUUAUCAAGCAGCCAGUAGGCUGAUGACAAAGUUAAAUAAGCCAUUUUAAUUAUCCUUUCUUAUUGCAGGCUUCCUCACAACACACUGCUCUCAUUAUGAAAGGGUUACAAAAGUGAGUGUGCUCCCUUGGAACAAUUAGUUUAACCUAAUGAACACACAGCUCUCCUAAUUAGCUCAAGAAAGUAAGAAGGAUCCAACUGUUUGACUCCGUGGCAUAGACUAAGGAGAGAAAACUGCAGCAAGCAGAAAGCCUGCCAAAGAAGGAAAAGAUGAUGAAAUUUCAAAUUUAGCUAUAGAAGCAUUUAAUAACUAGGGGCUGCUCUAAUAAAGUCCUUGGCUUUUAAGAAGAAGGGACAGGGAAAUAAGACAGCACAGUGUAUUUUCUGAUCAGUUUGAUUUUUAUGAGCUAACACCCGCAGCAGUGUUCAAAUGCCAACUAAUCCCACUCGCUGCAGAGCUCCAGCACCCGUCAAAGCCUAACGCCGAACGUGCCCAAGUAAGGAAUAAACCAGUCCCCAGAGCUGAGAAUGUGAGAUCCGGUGUGAUACAGAACCAGGCAGUAACAAGAGAGCCUCUGGAGCAGCCUGCAGCAGGGCACAGGGACACGGCAUGAUACCCAGGGAACGAGAAUAAAUACCUCUCACCCGCCCUACCCAGACAAAGUUGCUUGGAGCGGGAACAGCACUGCUCAGAGUUAGGGCUGAAAGCACACCCUAGGGAAGGCCAUUCCCCAGGGCUACAUGUGCUACGGAAUUACUGCUUUAAAAAUAAAGUCUUAAACGUGUUCUGAUUGAUAUUGGCUAUAACAUAGGCAGGAAGAGACCCUGUUUAGCAUCGUUUAAUCUUGUUCAAUUUUACUGCCCUUCUCCCACCCUGCUAAUGCCUCAGUGGUUGGCAAUUACUGCACGUACCUGUCUGACGAGAGCCAGCUGCAGCGACAAGUAGAGGAUGAUUUGGUGAUCUUCCGGGCCCAACUCACGUGCUCUUCAAGGACAACCACACAACACAAGAAGAAGCAAGUGUUAGAGCGUACUUCCCAGAACUCCUUUGCCACAAGUCACAGACACAGAGCUAAGGCCAGUCCUGUCCUCCAUAA